GCUGGGUGUAGUGGCACACACCUGCAAUCUCAGUGACUCAGGAGGCUAAGGUAGGAGGAUCACAAGUUUGAGGCCAGCCUCAGCAACUUAGUAAGACCCUGUCUUAG
rnacentral:sRNA from 1 species